GACGAACGCUGGCGGCGUGCUUAACACAUGCAAGUCGAGCGGUAAGGCCCUUUCGGGGGUACACGAGCGGCGAACGGGUGAGUAACACGUGGGUGACCUGCCCUCAGCUCUGGGAUAAGCCUGGGAAACCGGGUCUAAUACUGGAUAUGACUCCAUGACGCAUGUUGGUGGGGUGGAAAGCCUUGUGCGGCUGAGGAUGGGCCCGCGGCCU
rnacentral:rRNA from 1 species